GACAGAGGUCCCGAGCGUUAGGCGGAAUCACUGGGCUUAAAGCGUGUGUAGGCGGAUCUGUAAGUACCUUGUGAAAUCCCACGGCUUAACCGUGGAACUGCUUGGUAUACUGCGGAUCUUGAGCCACCUAGGGGCUACUGGAACAAACGGUGGAGCGGUGAAAUGCGUAGAUAUCGUUUGGAACGCCAAUGGUGAAAACAAGUAGCUGGGGGUGUGCUGACGCUGAGACACGAAAGCCAGGGGAGCGAACGGG
rnacentral:rRNA from 1 species